rnacentral:rRNA from 1 species
CUCAGGACGAACGCUGGCGGCGUGCCUAAUACAUGCAAGUCGAACGAACUCUGGUAUUGAUUGGUGCUUGCAUCAUGAUUUACAUUUGAGUGAGUGGCGAACUGGUGAGUAACACGUGGGAAACCUGCCCAGAAGCGGGGGAUAACACCUGGAAACAGAUGCUAAUACCGCAUAACAACUUGGACCGCAUGGUCCGAGUUUGAAAGAUGGCUUCGGCUAUCACUUUUGGAUGGUCCCGCGGCGUAUUAGCUAGAUGGUGAGGUAACGGCUCACCAUGGCAAUGAUACGUAGCCGACCUGAGAGGGUAAUCGGCCACAUUGGGACUGAGACACGGCCCAAACUCCUACGGGAGGCAGCAGUAGGGAAUCUUCCACAAUGGACGAAAGUCUGAUGGAGCAACGCCGCGUGAGUGAAGAAGGGUUUCGGCUCGUAAAACUCUGUUGUUAAAGAAGAACAUAUCUGAGAGUAACUGUUCAGGUAUUGACGGUAUUUAACCAGAAAGCCACGGCUAACUACGUGCCAGCAGCCGCGGUAAUACGUAGGUGGCAAGCGUUGUCCGGAUUUAUUGGGCGUAAAGCGAGCGCAGGCGGUUUUUUAAGUCUGAUGUGAAAGCCUUCGGCUCAACCGAAGAAGUGCAUCGGAAACUGGGAAACUUGAGUGCAGAAGAGGACAGUGGAACUCCAUGUGUAGCGGUGAAAUGCGUAGAUAUAUGGAAGAACACCAGUGGCGAAGGCGGCUGUCUGGUCUGUAACUGACGCUGAGGCUCGAAAGUAUGGGUAGCAAACAGGAUUAGAUACCCUGGUAGUCCAUACCGUAAACGAUGAAUGCUAAGUGUUGGAGGGUUUCCGCCCUUCAGUGCUGCAGCUAACGCAUUAAGCAUUCCGCCUGGGGAGUACGGCCGCAAGGCUGAAACUCAAAGGAAUUGACGGGGGCCCGCACAAGCGGUGGAGCAUGUGGUUUAAUUCGAAGCUACGCGAAGAACCUUACCAGGUCUUGACAUACUAUGCAAAUCUAAGAGAUUAGACGUUCCCUUCGGGGACAUGGAUACAGGUGGUGCAUGGUUGUCGUCAGCUCGUGUCGUGAGAUGUUGGGUUAAGUCCCGCAACGAGCGCAACCCUUAUUAUCAGUUGCCAGCAUUAAGUUGGGCACUCUGGUGAGACUGCCGGUGACAAACCGGAGGAAGGUGGGGAUGACGUCAAAUCAUCAUGCCCCUUAUGACCUGGGCUACACACGUGCUACAAUGGAUGGUACAACGAGUUGCGAACUCGCGAGAGUAAGCUAAUCUCUUAAAGCCAUUCUCAGUUCGGAUUGUAGGCUGCAACUCGCCUACAUGAAGUCGGAAUCGCUAGUAAUCGCGGAUCAGCAUGCCGCGGUGAAUACGUUCCCGGGCCUUGUACACACCGCCCGCCACACCAUGAGAGUUUGUAACACCCAAAGUCGGUGGGGUAACCUU